AUGGUGUUCCACGCAGCUGGUUCGGCCGGGCCCUCACGGGUCCGUCCGAGGCAACAGGGAACCCGGUGCAAGGCCGGGACUGCCCCGCAGCGGUGAGUGGGAACGACAACCGUCAGGUAAGCACUGGGCCCGUCCCGGGCCUGGGAAGCGACGGUCGGUAGGUGGCUCUGGCGACAAGCCGGAGCCGUGCCCACGAGUCCGAAGACCUGCCAGCGUGCCGUGCAUCGC
rnacentral:ncRNA from 1 species